UAGGGAAUCUUCGGCAAUGGGGGGAACCCUGACCGAGCAACGCCGCGUGAGUGAAGAAGGUUUUCGGAUCGUAAAGCUCUGUUGUUAAGGAAGAACGAGUGUGAGAAUGGAAAGUUCAUACUGUGACGGUACUUAACCAGAAAGGGACGGCUAACUACGUGCCAGCAGCCGCGGUAAUACGUAGGUCCCGAGCGUUGUCCGGAUUUAUUGGGCGUAAAGCGAGCGCAGGCGGUUAGAUAAGUCUGAAGUUAAAGGCAGUGGCUCAACCAUUGUAGGCUUUGGAAACUGUUUAACUUGAGUGCAGAAGGGGAGAGUGGAAUUCCAUGUGUAGCGGUGAAAUGCGUAGAUUUAUGGAGGAACACCGGUGGCGAAAGCGGCUCUCUGGUCUGUAACUGACGCUGAGGCUCGAAAGCGUGGGGAGCGAACAGG
rnacentral:rRNA from 1 species